rnacentral:lncRNA from 1 species
GUCUCAGCUCGAGCAUUCCUAGCGCCAACACGCCCUCAGGUAAAGGUGGAAGUAAAUGGCCACGCUGUAUUGACAGAGCAGGUAGAUGAAACUCAAGAGAAAAGGUGUGGAUAAAUGAAACUAGCCCAUGAUGAACCUGUUUUCUCCGUGACCACAAUAUUAACCAGGAUGAAUGGCGGUGGCAGUGGGCCUGCAUCACAGGUUGCAGCAGAUGUUCUCAAUAUUUCUAUUAAAAUUUCCUUAUUUCCAUAUGCAAGAGGAGCCCCAGAGCUGCAUCCUUAUGGUAGCUACCAUGCCGUGAUGUAAGCUGCCAUUCACUGGGGAGCUUUGGCAAUAGAAUUGGCUAGAUCAGGAAGCCUAUGUCAACUAUGGAACAACAACUUGCAGCUCAUCUCUAUUGAUGUUAUUUCUUCCACUGACAUCUUGAACCCCUCAGUCAUCCAUGAGGCUUGGAAUCAACUUCUUCCAAACUCCUGCUCAUGUUGAUAUUUUGAUCUCCUUUUAUGAAACAUGGAUGUUUUAAUAGCAUCUAGAAUGAGAAAUCUUUUCCAGAAGGCUUUCAAUUGACUUUGCCCAGAUCCAUCAGAGGAAUCGCUAUCUAUGACAGCAUCAGGUAUUAUCUACUGCUGUCUGCAGAAUUCAGACAUGGAGGGCUCAAUGGUGUCCCCUGGUCUUUGGAACAUUCUGUAUUUUAAUGAUCAUGCUAAGGAGAGGCCCCGGAUCAGGACAGCAGUUUCCUCAGACGUGAUGUGGUGCCCCUUGCAUCCUGCUCAGAGAAUUCUCAGCAGCACAGAUCCACUUCAAGGAAACACUGACUUGAAAACUCUCCCCCAUGGUUUUGUCUGAACUGGCUGCCAUUCUGCAGCACACACCAGAUCCAAUUGCUGGAGUCGGGAACCCGAGAGAUACACUGCCUCUAGGACUGGGACAGAUAGCCACUGAGUACCUGCUUCAAAUCACCCUGCACGUUUUCUCUUUGGAAAGAUAAGCACUGGAGAACCAUCUCGUUACCUUCAGCAGAAAUGGAAACAAAUCAAGACAUUAAGAAUGCCGCAGUGGACAGCAGUUAUGCAAGGUUCAGCAGAGGAAGUUUUCAAGAUGGUGUGCCUCACUAGCCAGAAAUCAGAAAAGAUCGAAGCUAGCCUUUUCAUCUCAGCUGCUCCUUAAAUCAGUGCAACCCCUCCAAAUUAAUGUGAAUUGAAACUUGCAUUGCUUUUCAACUUAAUUGAAUACUUACUAUAUGUGAACCACUGCACAAAAUAGGGGAAGAAGAUGUGGGAGACAAAGAUGUGGAGCCUGUCUUCAAUAAAUUUACAGUUAGUUUCAGGGUACAUUGUUUUUCUUCUGCUGUUAAUUAGGUGUAUCCCCAAGACAAUAAAUACAUGAAUGGAAAAGUAUAUUCUGUGUUUUAAGUCUCUUUAAUAAAAAACAAAACAAAAUCCAAAAAAACUCCUAACAUGGCAACUCAGGACAUUUUAAUCCUUUUUUUUGUUGUUGGGCUUCUGAUAGGAUCCAUUUUAUUGAUUCCAUAAAUAUUUAGUAGACUUUAGACAUAUUAAUACAUUGUAGUUUGAGUUAAUUUGCAUUAAAUUCUGUUUUUUUCCCCUUAGGUAUAGAUUGUCUGUUGGAAAAAUAUAUUGCUUGUGGAUUUCUUGGGGAGUGGGAAGGUGAAUUAUACCUGUUGUCUCUACAGUCCACUACCUUCCACACCCUAGGGCAGUGGUCCCCAACCUUCUUGGCACCAGGGAUCAGUUUCCUGGAAGACAAUUUUUCUGUGGAUGGUGUGGGGAUGGUUUUGGGAUGGAACUGUUCCACCUCAGAUCAUCAGGCAUUAGUUAGGCUCUCAUAACGAGUGCGCAGCCUAGAUCCCUCACAUGCACAGUUCACAGUAGGGUUUGCGCUGCUAUGAGAAUCUAAGGCUGCCACUGAUCUGACAGGAGGCAGAACUCAGGUGGCAAUGCUUACUGGCCCACUGCUCACCUCUUGCUGUGCGGCCUGGUUCCUAAUAGGCCAUGGACCCCCACAGACGGGUACUAGUCUGCAGCCUGUGGACCCCAGCCCUAGGGGCCUGCCAUUCUGAGUGAGUUAUUAGCAUGAAGAAGAGGAAGAUCUGGAUCAAACGUGGGUGAUGGUACUCAGAGACCCAAGAUAGGAUAGGGAUGGAACAAAAUCCAUCUGGGCAACGGCUCUAUGAAAAUUUGGCUAAGUAAUUAUUUCAGUAUUCAUUGUAUUCAUUGUCCUUCGUGUUCCAUAAGUUAAAUGACUGUCUAAUUUUUCCAAAAAUUUAUUUCUGACUUGAGAAUAAGUGUGUCAUGAUUUUCCCAGUGUAAAGACACUGAUAUAACUGUAGAUACCAGACAUUUUAUGUAGUGUCUAUGACACAUUUUAGUAUGUAUGAGCCAACAAUAGACAUGUCUUUGUCUUGAGGAGUGUCCAUCUGAAUUGAAAAUGUGUCAGCUUUUUUUUAACAUCAUCAACAGACUUCUUAAUUAAGCUGCCAAUACAUACUGCCAAUAGCACUGUGUGCUGUCUGAGAAAUGCAUUGUGUAAGUGCUAUUUCCAUCUUAUUAAAUAAACAAUGUUGCUCUGUAUAAACUGGAUUUAAAGUGUUCUUUGAAUGAGGCAUUAUAUUGCUCCAUAAAUAAUGUGAUGUGAAUUCUCAUAUGAUCCCUUUUAACUUAAUUUCUAAAAAAAUAUUAUUUGCUCCUCAGUAAGGAAUAGCUCUAAUUGGACUGGUAACUUUAGUGAUAUGAUUUGUCUGUAACAGGCUGAAUCGCCCCACUCCCAAACUCCUGGUCGUGAUACUGGAUAUUUGUUAUGCCACUUUUAGUUUGCAUGAGGUAUCUUCCAGGAAGUAUUAGUUAUUAACUUGUGUUCUACUAAACUGUAGAUAUUUAUUUCCUGUUCUGGAAGAUUUCUUGGAGUGUCCAUCUGUGCAUUCCUGGUGCCUAGUGUAGUCUUGCUAAUGGAAUAGCACCUUUAUUGGUGCUACUUAGGGGUUGGUAGCUUACAAUCAAUCUACUUGGAACGUAUCCAAAUAAACUGGAUAUUUUUAUACA